AGGCAAAGAGUCCGGUUCCUCUAGCGGGCAAGCCGGAGGGGAUUCACGAGGAAAAGGCGCGCUCUAAAGUUCUCAGGUACCCAAGUAAAGGAUGAAGAUCAAGCAAGCGAGUCGAACCGAACACACACAUUUUUAGAACGCUUCCGCAUCCAAACUUUUGUUUUAAAAACUAUGUAAACUAAUGGUAGUUACCGUCUUGAAUGUGGUUUGUAACAACAAUACAUGUAUGUUGUGUUAGUUUUGGGUUUAAACGAUGAAA